ACACCUCAACUCUCAUGGCUUGCCAUGACGAGCUUGGACUUUGGGGGUCUUGCCGGCCUGCGGUCGGCUCCUCUCAAAUGAAUCAGCUUACCAGUGUUUGGUGGCAUCACAGGUGUGAUAACUAUCUACGCUUGUGGUUUUCCACCAGGUAACCUUCAGUGAUGGAGGUUUGCUGGGGCUCAUAAACGUCUCUCCUCAGUGAGGACAGCUCUUUGAAC
rnacentral:misc_RNA from 1 species